UACGUAGGGUGCGAGCGUUGUCCGGAAUUACUGGGCGUAAAGAGCUCGUAGGUGGUUUUGUCGCGUUGUCCGUGAAAACUCACAACUCAAUUGUGGGCGUGCGGGCGAUACGGGCAGACUGGAGUACUGCAGGGGAGACUGGAAUUCCUGGUGUAGCGGUGGAAUGCGCAGAUAUCAGGAGGAACACCGGUGGCGAAGGCGGGUCUCUGGGCAGUAACUGACGCUGAGGAGCGAAAGCGUGGGGGAGCGAACAGG
rnacentral:rRNA from 1 species